CACCCAUUAUGGUAGGCUGUGGAGAUACAGAUAAAUAAGACCUAGCCCCCAGGGAGCCUGCAUUCUAGUGACUCAAGCAGGAAUGUAACCACCCAUAAGAAAAGAUGGCUGUACUAUGACAGCUCCAUGGGGCCCAGUGGGAGGUCAAAGAAGGACACAUUUUCUGUGGCUGACUGUAUUGGAGUUUGGACCAAGCUGAGUGUUGCUGAGAAGAACUUCAGUAGUAGGAGCAGGACCCGAGGUCCCAUCGGCCCUGGCAAGUAUGGCUAUGGGAAGGCUCCCUACAUCUUACCACUACAGACGGAUACCACACAUACUCCACAGAGGCUUCGGAGACAGAGGCCUUCAUCCCGACAUUCCAGGUCCCAGGAGUCAUCUGCUUCUAGGCAGAGCUACAGGCCACCAUCCCACCAGUUCUCCCACAGUGGACCUGUUUACCAAAGUGACAGUGGCCCUCGUUCUGGACUGUCAGCUUCUGAGGCCUCUAUCUAUCAGCUGCCUUUGACUCAUGAUCAAAGCUAUCCUGCAGCUUCAGGUCUCUUCCACAGCCCGGAAUUGAGCAGCAACAGUGGUGCCAGGCUCCAUGGGGCAGCUCAGGCCUUUCCCCAGCAUCUGCGAUCUACAGCCAUCUCAUGCAUCGGGGCCUAUCGGCAGUACAAACUGUGCAACACCAACGUGAGUAUACAACACCUCAGUCUGGGCUUAGAGGAAGUUGGUUUUCUUCAUUUCU
rnacentral:lncRNA from 1 species